rnacentral:lncRNA from 10 species
CAGACAGAUCUCACAUUCAUGUUAACUGGUUUAUUUUGAAGCAUAACAUUUCAUCAAGGUGUAUACCUGUAUGUGAAUAUUUAACAAUUGAGAAACUGAAACAGAUGCAGAUGAAGAAUGACCUACUUGAAAAUUUACCAGCCAAGCCUGUAAGCUGUGUAGAGUAAUGUCAACACAAAGGAAAUAUCAAUUCAAGUGGAUUCCAAUGUGCAAUCACAGUCAUUAGUAUGGAUUGGUGUCAAACUUUCAAGCAUUUGCCUUGUUUAUUGAACAACCUAAUAAUUCAAAAUGGUAAUGGGAAGAGGGUGGAGUAGGAAAAUAAGGAUAGACUCUGAAACCAAGGUCCUUAGGGCUUCUAUAUGAAUUUCAGAAUUACUGUCAAAUAAAUAUUUAUUGGUGUCCUUUCUCUUGUAUGUAGACAAUAAGUACACAUACAGAUAGCUGUCUAAAAAUUAAGUGUUAAGCUGGAAUUAGAUAUUGAAAUUGAGUACCAAUAUUAUCUUUAGUCAAUUUCCCUUAGGAUACUAUUUUGUGAAGAGAAAAUAUUAUUCAUGUGCAUAUUAAUUAAAGCUUUUAAAAUGAUCACUGAAAAUGUAUCCUCUGACCUGCAGAGUAUAUCCAGUGUAUGUUCUUAAGUCCUGGUGCUAGAUGCAAAUUAAAGAUGAGUAAUGCAAAUUGAAAUUUCCAUGAAAUGAAUCAUUCUACAUAAUGAGCUUUACAAAUUCCACAUUUUAUGCAAUACCAAAAAUAAAAAA